rnacentral:rRNA from 1 species
UACGUAGGGUGCAAGCGUUGUCCGGAAUUAUUGGGCGUAAAGAGCUCGUAGGCGGCCUGUUGCGUCGGCUGUGAAAACCCGGGGCUCAACCCCGGGCCUGCAGUCGAUACGGGCAGGCUAGAGUCCGGCAGGGGAGACUGGAAUUCCUGGUGUAGCGGUGAAAUGCGCAGAUAUCAGGAGGAACACCGGUGGCGAAGGCGGGUCUCUGGGCCGGAACUGACGCUAAGGAGCGAAAGCGUGGGGAGCGAACAGG